rnacentral:rRNA from 1 species
AAUCAACGCUGGCGGCGUGCCUAACACAUGCAAGUCGAACGCGAAAGGGGAGCAAUCCCUGAGUAGAGUGGCAAACGGGUGAGUAACACGUGGGUGACCUGCCUUCGAGUGGGGGAUAACGUUCCGAAAGGAACGCUAAUACCGCAUGACAUCCUGCUUUUGGAGAAGCGGAGAUCAAAGCUGGGGAUUCGCAAGAACCUAGCGCUUGAAGAGGGGCCCGCGCCUGAUUAGCUAGUUGGUGGGGUAACGGCUCACCAAGGCUUCGAUCAGUAUCCGGCCUGAGAGGGCGGACGGACACACUGGGACUGAGACACGGCCCAGACUCCUACGGGAGGCAGCAGUGGGGAAUUGUUCGCAAUGGGCGCAAGCCUGACGACGCAACGCCGCGUGGAGGAUGAAGAUUUUCGGAUCGUAAACUCCUGUCGAGUGGGAAGAAUAGCUCCCGGGCGAAUAUCCCCGGAAGUCUGACGGUACCACUAAAGGAAGCCCCGGCUAACUCCGUGCCAGCAGCCGCGGUAAUACGGGGGGGGCAAGCGUUGUUCGGAAUUACUGGGCGUAAGGGGCUCGUAGGCGGCCAACUAAGUCAGAUGUGAAUUCCCCAGGCUCAACCUGGGACCUGCAUCUGAUACCUGGUUGGCCUUGAAUCCGGGG